rnacentral:rRNA from 1 species
AGUGAACGCUGGCGGUAGGCCUAACACAUGCAAGUCGAACGGCAGCACAGUAAGAGCUUGCUCUUACGGGUGGCGAGUGGCGGACGGGUGAGGAAUACAUCGGAAUCUACUUUUUCGUGGGGGAUAACGUAGGGAAACUUACGCUAAUAACGCAUACGACCUACGGGUGAAAGCAGGGGAUCUUCGGACCUUGCGCGUUUGAAUGAGCCGAUGUCGGAUUAGCUAGUUGGCGGGGUAAAGGCCCACCAAGGCGACGAUCCGUAGCUGGUCUGAGAGGAUGAUCAGCCACACUGGAACUGAGACACGGUCCAGACUCCUACGGGAGGCAGCAGUGGGGAAUAUUGGACAAUGGGCGCAAGCCUGAUCCAGCCAUACCGCGUGGGUGAAGAAGGCCUUCGGGUUGUAAAGCCCUUUUGUUGGGAAAGAAAAGCAGCAGGUUAAUACCCCGCUGUUCUGACGGUACCCAAAGAAUAAGCACCGGCUAACUUCGUG